UACGGGGGGGGCAAGCGUUGUUCGGAAUUACUGGGCGUAAAGGGCGCGUAGGCGGUGCUCUAAGUCGGAUGUGAAAACUCUGGGCUCAACCCAGAGCCUGCAUCCGAAACUGGAGUGCUAGAGUUCUGGAGGGGGUAGCGGAAUUCCUGGUGUAGCGGUGAAAUGCGCAGAUAUCGGGAGGAACACCCGUAGCGAAGGCGGCACUCUGGGCCGGUACUGACGCUGAGGAGCGAAAGCGUGGGGAGCAAACAGG
rnacentral:rRNA from 1 species